rnacentral:rRNA from 1 species
ACGGAAGGCAGCAGUGGGGAAUAUUGGGCAAUGGGCGCAAGCCUGACCCAGCAACGCCGCGUGAAGGAUGAAGGUCUUCGGAUUGUAAACUUCUUUGAUCAGGGACGAAUAAAUGACGGUACCUGAAGAACAAGUCACGGCUAACUACGUGCCAGCAGCCGCGGUAAUACGUAGGUGACAAGCGUUAUCCGGAUUUACUGGGUGUAAAGGGCGUGUAGGCGGUUUGGCAAGUCAGAAGUGAAAUUCCCGGGCUUAACUUGGGCGCUGCUUCUGAAACUGCUUUACUUGAGUACUGGAGAGGAUAGUGGAAUUCCUAGUGUAGCGGUAAAAUGCGCAGAUAUUAGGAGGAACACCAGUGGCGAAGGCGGCUUUCUGGACAGUUACUGACACUGAGGCACGAAAGUGUGGGGAGCAAACAGGAUUAGAUACCCUGGUA